GGCGGAAGGACCCAUAGCUCAGUGGGAGAGCAUUUGCUUUGGACACAGAAAGUCCCAGGUUCUCUACCUGGCAUCGCCA